rnacentral:snRNA from 1 species
AAGAGCUUCGCUCAACUUAUAACGAACAUGGUUCUUGCCUUUUACCAGAACCAUCCGGGUGCUGUCUCGUCAGGUAGUGCUGCAUCUCAGGCCUCGCUGUAUUUUUUGGAAACCCCCUUCAAAGGCGCAU